UCCAGAGUGAAGGGUAGACCAGGGGUUUCUCCAGAGUGAAGGGUAGGACAGGGUUAUCUCCAGAGUGAAGGGUAGGCCAGGGUUAUCUUCAGAGUGAAGGGUAGGACAGGGUUUCUCCAGAGUGAAGGGUAGGCCAGGGUUUACUCCAGAGUGAAGGGUAGGCCAGGGUUAUCUCCAGAGUGAAGGGUAGGACAGGGUUUACUCCAGAGUGAAGGGUAGGACAGGGUUUACUCCAGAGUGAAGGGUAGGACAGGGUUAUCUCCAGUGUGAAGGGUAGGCCAGGGUUAUCUCCAGUGUGAAGGGUAGGCCAGGGUUAUCUCCAGUGUGAAGG
ensembl:lncRNA